GACGAACGCUGGCGGCGUGCUUAACACAUGCAAGUCGAACGGAGUGGCGAACGGGUGAGUAACACGUGAGUAACCUGCCCUUGACUUUGGGAUAACUUCAGGAAACUGGGGCUAAUACCGGAUAGUUGGGGAUGGACUCGCGGCUUAUCAGCUUGUUGGUGGGGUAGUGGCUUACCAAGGCUUUGACGGGUAGCCGGCCUGAGAGGGUGACCGGCCACAUUGGGACUGAGAUACGGCCCAGACUCCUACGGGAGGCAGCAGUGGGGAAUAUUGCACAAUGGGCGGAAGCCUGAUGCAGCAACGCCGCGUGCGGGAUGACGGCCUUCGGGUUGUAAACCGCUUUCGCCUGUGACGCGGUAAUGGGUAAAGAAGCACCGGCUAACUACGUGCCAGCAGCCGCGGUAAUAC
rnacentral:rRNA from 1 species